rnacentral:rRNA from 1 species
UACGUAGGGGGCGAGCGUUGUCCGGAAUUAUUGGGCGUAAAGAGCUCGUAGGCGGUUUGUCGCGUCUGCUGUGAAAACCCGAGGCUCAACCUCGGGCCUGCAGUGGGUACGGGCAGACUAGAGUGCGGUAGGGGAGAUUGGAAUUCCUGGUGUAGCGGUGGAAUGCGCAGAUAUCAGGAGGAACACCCGUGGCGAAGGCGGCUUCCUGGGCCGCCCCUGACGCUGAGGCGCGAAAGCGUGGGGAGCGAACGGG